AAAUAGUAUUAAGUUAGUGUUCACGGCUGGGUAGUGAUAGGUUUCUAUUUUUUUUUAUAAAUAAGGAUUUUGAGAGAGUCAGUAACUAAAAAUUCUUUCGAAGGUAUGUUAUGCAACAGACAUAAUAUUUUUGUUACAUGGGGGGCUAUUUUUAAUAGGGAAUUUAUGAAUGCUUUGAAAAUCUAUUAAAAUGGUCACUUGUUAUUUAUAUAUUCAGUGUGAUUUUAAGUUGUUUAAACAGUUACAAUUAUAACUUUAAGGCAAAAUUGUAGGUUUUAAAUGUUGACAAUAUUUUAUCUAUAAUUUUUUGUGCUGUAUUUUAAUAGUUUUUUUUUUUCAUUAAAUUUAGGGCCCAGUCUGUGAAGUUUAGAUAACAGAUUCAGUAACACAGAAAUACAAUAAUAUUAAAAUGAAAUAAAUAAUUUGAUCUGUAUUAAAAAAAGAAUAAGAAAACUGCCUAAAAUAUUUAACGUGCACUAGGUAAAUGUUUUUCGUAAUAAUAAUAAUAAAAAAAAAAACGAAAAAAUAUUGUUUUUUGUGUCACUGGAUUUCAUUAAGGAGUAAGCCGUAUGGCAGUCCAUUAUAAUCCUACGUAGAAAAUAUAAAAAAAAAAUAGUCCUGUACAUUUUAUGAAAGUUAAAAAAUAAAAAUGUAUAUGAAAAAAAAAGUGCACCUGAGUGGUUUUAAAUGGGUAAUAAAUACAUUUUAUUUAUAAAUUUCUGGUAAGUAUGUUUGGUGCGCACAUAUUGAGUAUAGAUAAUAUUUAUGGUC
rnacentral:lncRNA from 1 species